rnacentral:lncRNA from 1 species
AUGAAGCCUUCCACACUGACACAGCAGCUCCACGUGCCCCGUCCCGCGGCUCCGCUCCUUCUCCCGGCAUCACUUCGUGGUUUUCGCCGUGAGAUUCACGGGGUCGUUACGUGUGAAGCGUCACGGCACCGGGAUGUCGGAGGGAAUCGGAGGGUCACGGAACGGCCCGGGCUGAGAAGGACCAACCCCGCGCUGUGUGCAGGCACCGGCGACCGAGCAGCCGGUCGGGCCGCACGCAGCCCCAACCCCAACCCCAACCCCAACCCUAACCCUAACUCUAACCCCAACCCCAACCCCAGCCCAGCCCUAAUCACACCGCAGCGAUGCGGGCAGUGUCCGCGCUCCGUGUGCUCGCGCUGCUCCGCGUCCUGCGGGAUCCGGGGGGGGGAAGGAGCGCGGGGCGGGCUCGGAGCGGGACCCCGGUGCUGCCGGCAGCUCGGGGCUGCGGCCCGGCGGGGGCUGCGGGACGCUGCAGAAACCGGGCCCGCACCGAGCGGCGGCGCUGACCCCAUCGGCGCUGCCCGGAACGCGGGGCCCGGCGCUGCUCCCCUCGGCCUGACUGCCGGCCUCCCCCCCCCCUUUCUCUCCUCCCCCCCGGUGCUGUCGGCCCCGGCUCCGUGUCCCCGUUCCCGUUCCCGUUCCCGUUCCCGUUCCCGUUCCGUUCCCGUCCCGCCGUUGGCAGCAGGGGGCGCCACGCCGCGCGCCGCCAUUUCCCUCCGCUCACCUGCGGCCUCCGAGCGCACCCUGCGCCGCCGACGCCGCAGCAGCCAAUCGCGACGCGCUGACGGCCGGCGCCAGCCAAUGGGAGCGCGGAGGCGGGACGGCCGGGAGCGGCGCGGCGGCACCUGGCGGCGGCGGGCGGCGCUGCGGGCACGUGGGGGAGAGAGCGGCGGCCUCCGCGUUACCACGGCAACCGGCACCGGGACCGGCCGAGACGGCGGGACGAGGGACCCGGCCCGGGGCAGCCGGUCCCGGCACAAAGGGAUCGCGGCGAUGGGCAGCGCGGGGCCGCAGCUCAGUUCGGGGCCGCAGUUCGGGGCCGAGCGCUCUGUGUGUGCUCGGACCCGCCGCCCCGUCCCGGCCGGUCUCGUCGUGCGGGAGCGGCAUCGCGGCUGGUCGGCGGGGAUGGCCGCCCUUCUCAGCCCGCCCGGCCCCGCGCCGCGGUGCACAGUCAGUCGGUCGGUCAUCCCGGUACAGCCGGUCAUCCAUCCAUCCAUCCCGGUACAGCCGGUCAUCCAUCCAUCCAUCCCGGUACAGCCGGUCAUCCAUCCGUCCAUCCCGGUACAGCCGGUCAUCCAUCCAUCCAUCCAUCCCGGUACAGCCGGUCAUCCAUCCAUCCAUCCCGGUACAGCCGGUCAUCCAUCCAUCCAUCCCGGUACAGUCACAGUCUCAUCCCGGGCCGUUCUCCCGCCGCUCCCUCCCGCAGGUGCGCGGACUUUGCCCGGGCCGCUCCCUCGCUCUGCGCCCCGCCCGCCUCAAGUCCCCGCGGGGCCGGGAUCCCCCUUGUGCCCGCUCUGCCCUGUGCCCUGUGCCCGCUGUGCCCGCUGUGCCCGCUGUGCCCUCCGCCCGCCGCCCGGUGUCCGGUCCGGUCCGGUCCGUUCGGUCUCGCCCCCCCGGCGCUGUCCGACGUUCGGUGCUGAAGGCGACGGCGGCCCCGUGGCGGGGCGGGGCGGCCCGAGCAGGUGGCGAUGCCCCUCCGCCCCUCCGCCCCCCCCGCCCCGCUCCGCCGCUCCCCGCCCCCCGCGCUCCCUCCCGCCGUUCCCGUUCCCAUUCCCAUCACGUCUCCGCCGGCCGUGGCCGCGCUCGCUCCCCGCUCCGCGAUGGCCAGCACCUUCGCCCGCGCUCUCUCCGCCCGCCGCUCCGCCGGGCUCCUGGCCAUGGUGGGCGCCGGUUCGCUCGCCGCCGGUUUUCUGCUCGCCCGGGACACGGUCAGCGCCGGCGAGCGGCAGCGACGGCGCUACCCGCCCAGGUACCGGGAGCGGGCGGCGGGGGCGCACGUGCGGGGGCGGCGGCGGCGGGCAGGGGCAGCUUCACGCGGCACCGGGGGAGGGGGCGCGGGGCUCCCGCAGCUCCGCGAGGCGUCCUGAGCCCCGGGGCGGCGGUGACCGGGAUCGCGGUCAGCGCCCAGCUCGGAGCCGCGCCGCGCUGGGGGGAACCGGCUCCUCCGGCGGGACCAAAACCUCCCGCCUGGGGCGGCCGGGGAAGGGCGCGGCGCGGCCCCGUCGCGGUUGCGGGAUCCGCCGUCCCCGAUUCCAAGGACACCGCCGCGCCGGGGCGCGGGGCUCGCCGGACCGGGUCCGUUCCUACCUCGGGGCAGAGCCGAGACGGCCCCGGCCCGCGGGGCGGUACCGACACCGCCGCGCCGCUCCCGGGUCGGGAACGGGGGGCCCGGGGCCGGCCGAGCUGGGGCAAAGCGCCGCUCCGGGGCUGCGGAAGGGUCCUGCAGAGGGCCGUGACCGGCCGAUGCGGGGCGGGAGUGGGGGGCACCGGGAUUCGGUCUGUCGGGGGCGGCACCGCGAGGAUGCCGGGCACGGACGCAGCCCGAGCUCAGCGCGGUCGUUAGAGGAGCGGGGGGCUUCCCGCAGGGCCCUGCCCUCGCAGCUCGGGGCGGAGGGAGAACCGGGUCCGCGGCUGCGGCGCGGCCAUUCGUGCUGCGCCGGCGGUUUCAAGCAGGGAUGA